AGUAUGAUUGUUGGAUCAUAUGGUAAGAGUAUAUUUUGAAGAAACUGCCAGACUGUUUUUCAAAGUGCCUGUUUCAUUUUGUAUUCCCAUCAGCAAU
rnacentral:pre_miRNA from 1 species